UUAUAAUCAUUCGUCUCACAUUUGUUCUCUUUCGGUUUAGUCUUGAGCUUAAAUAAUAUGAAUUACUCUUGUUUUCAUGUUUUUCUUAUGUAGGAGCAUUUUGAGGCAUUUGGAGUUUAAAAAAGAGAAAAAAGAUCACCAAGGAACCAAAAAAAAUUAUGGGAGGAUUAACAUUGCAACGCGUAGAAAAAGGAGCGAAAAAUGGCCAAGUAGAGAGUUUCUUGCACUAGUGCUGCAAAGAAAGCAGUGACACGGAUUUAUGUUUCUUUCUGGAAAAUAUUGAAGGCCUGCACCACUCAAAUUAAGGAAUGGUGCAAGUUUAGCCACUGUUCGGGAUUUUCACUUGUUCCUUGCACAACAACUUCACUUUUGAAUUGUGGUGCGAGACGGGACCUCUCCUAACCCUAUAUAUUGGGAUUAGUUUUUGACAUUCUAAGGGUUCCUAACUCUAUAUAAACCCUCUCCACACAUUAUUUAACAUUAACAACUGAUUUGGGAAAGCCAAAAGUUAGGGCAAAACUCAAGAACAAAGUUAAUUUAUUGCUUUUUAUUUUAUUUUCAAUUUCUACCUUGUAAACUCGUGAAAUCUCUUAUUUUAAAGUGAUUCAUGAGUAGCUAAGCCUCUUAAUUUCUAAGGUUGUGGUUGAGCAUGAAAGGUGUGGCUUAAAUAUCAUAUUAUCUAUUUUGAUUUUCAUAUAUUGAGUUAUUUAUUUCUUCUUGCUCUCAA
rnacentral:lncRNA from 1 species